GUGGGGAAUAUUGGACAAUGGGCGCAAGCCUGAUCCAGCCAUACCGCGUGGGUGAAGAAGGCCUUCGGGUUGUAAAGCCCUUUUGUUGGGAAAGAAAUCCUAUCGAUUAAUACUCGGUGGGGAUGACGGUACCCAAAGAAUAAGCACCGGCUAACUUCGUGCCAGCAGCCGCGGUAAUACGAAGGGUGCAAGCGUUACUCGGAAUUACUGGGCGUAAAGCGUGCGUAGGUGGUUGUUUAAGUCUGCUGUGAAAGCCCUGGGCUCAACCUGGGAAUUGCAGUGGAUACUGGGCAACUAGAGUGUGGUAGAGGGAUGCGGAAUUUCUGGUGUAGCAGUGAAAUGCGUAGAGAUCAGAAGGAACAUCCGUGGCGAAGGCGGCAUCCUGGGCCAACACUGACACUGAGGCACGAAAGCGUGGGGAGCAAACAGGAUUAGAUACCCCGGUAGUCC
rnacentral:rRNA from 1 species